rnacentral:rRNA from 1 species
AUUGAACGCUGGCGGCAUGCUUUACACAUGCAAGUCGAACGGCAGCGGGGAGGAGCUUGCUUCUCUGCCGGCGAGUGGCGAACGGGUGAGUAAUACAUCGGAACGUGUCGAGAAGAGGGGGAUAACCACCCGAAAGGGUGGCUAAUACCGCAUAAAUUCUGAGGAAGAAAGCUGGGGACCUAGGAAUAGGCCUAGCGCUUUUUGAGCGGCCGAUGUCGGAUUAGCUAGUUGGUGAGGUAAAGGCUCACCAAGGCGAAGAUCUGUAGCGGGUCUGAGAGGAUGAUCCGCCGCACUGGGACUGAGACACGGCCCAGACUCCUACGGGAGGCAGCAGUGGGGAAUUUUGGACAAUGGGGGCAACCCUGAUCCAGCCAUGCCGCGUGUAUGAAGAAGGCCUUAGGGUUGUAAAGUACUUUUGUUAGGGAAGAAAAGUCAGCUGUGAAUAAUGGCUGAUACUGACGGUACCUAAAGAAUAAGCACCGGCUAACUACGUG